rnacentral:rRNA from 1 species
AAACUACAAAGGAAUUGACGGGGCCCGCACAAGCGGAGGAACAUGUGGUUUAAUUCGAUGAUACGCGAGGAACCUUACCUGGGCUUAAAUGUAGAGUGCAUGAGGUAGAAAUACUUCGUUCCCUUCGGGGCUCUUUGCAAGGUGCUGCAUGGUUGUCGUCAGCUCGUGCCGUGAGGUGUCGGGUUAAGUCCCAUAACGAGCGCAACCCUUAUCGUUAGUUGCCAGCGGGUAAUGCCGGGGACUCUAGCGAAACUGCCGGUGUAAACCGUGAGGAAGGUGGGAUGACGUCAAAUCAGCACGGCCCUUAUGUCCAGGGCUACACACGUGUUACAAUGGCCGGUACAGAGGGCAGCUACCUGGAGACAGGAUGCGAAUCUCGAAAGCCGGUCUCAGUUCGGAUCGGAGUCUGCAACUCGACUCCGUGAAGCUGGAUUCGCUAGUAAUCGCGCAUCAGCCAUGGCGCGGUGAAUACGUUCCCGGGCCUU